rnacentral:rRNA from 1 species
UAACAGAGAGUAGCUUGCUACUUUGCUGACGAGCGGCGGACGGGUGAGUAAUGCUUGGGAACAUGCCUUGAGGUGGGGGACAACAGUUGGAAACGACUGCUAAUACCGCAUAAUGUCUACGGACCAAAGGGGGCUUCGGCUCUCGCCUUUAGAUUGGCCCAAGUGGGAUUAGCUAGUUGGUGAGGUAAUGGCUCACCAAGGCGACGAUCCCUAGCUGGUUUGAGAGGAUGAUCAGCCACACUGGGACUGAGACACGGCCCAGACUCCUACGGGAGGCAGCAGUGGGGAAUAUUGCACAAUGGGCGCAAGCCUGAUGCAGCCAUGCCGCGUGUGUGAAGAAGGCCUUCGGGUUGUAAAGCACUUUCAGUCAGGAGGAAAGGUUAACGGUUAAUACCCGUUAGCUGUGACGUUACUGACAGAAGAAGCACCGGCUAACUCCGUGCCAGCAGCCGCGGUAAUACGGAGGGUGCGAGCGUUAAUCGGAAUUACUGGGCGUAAAGCGUACGCAGGCGGUUUGUUAAGCGAGAUGUGAAAGCCCCGGGCUCAACCUGGGAACUGCAUUUCGAACUGGCAAACUAGAGUGUGAUAGAGGGUGGUAGAAUUUCAGGUGUAGCGGUGAAAUGCGUAGAGAUCUGAAGGAAUACCGAUGGCGAAGGCAGCCACCUGGGUCAACACUGACGCUCAUGUACGAAAGCGUGGGGAGCAAACGGGAUUA